GUCCUAGCCGUAAACGAUGGACACUAGGUGUUGGUCCCGCCUUUGGCGGGAUCAGUGCCGCAGGUAACCCGCUAAGUGUCCCACCUGAGGAGUACGGCCGCAAGGUUGAAACUCAAAGGAAUUGACGGGGGCCAGCACAAGCGGUGGAACAUGUGGUUCAAUUCGAUGCUACGCGAAGAACCUUACCCAGGCUUGACAUGCAAGUAGUAGGAACCUGAAAGGGGGACGACUCGUAACCAGUCGAGCGCUUGCACAGGUGCUGCAUGGCUGUCGU
rnacentral:rRNA from 1 species